rnacentral:rRNA from 1 species
AGUGAAGCGGCAACAGCUCAAAUUUGAAAUCUGGCCCUUUCGGGGUCCGAGUUGUAAUUUAUAGAGAGUGUUUCGGGCGAGAUCACGGUCUAAGUUCAUUGGAACAUGGCGUCAUAGAGGGUGAGAAUCCCGUAUGUGACUGUGGAUCGACCCCAUGUGAAGCCUCUUCGAUGAGUCGAGUUGUUUGGGAAUGCAGCUCAAAAUGGGUGGUAAAUUUCAUCUAAAGCUAAAUACUGGCUGGAGACCGAUAGCGCACAAGUAGAGUGAUCGAAAGAUGAAAAGCACUUUGGAAAGAGAGUCAAAAAGUACGUGAAAUUGUUGAAAGGGAAGCGCUUGCAACCAGACCUGUCCGUAGGUGAUCAGCCGCUGUUCUCAGUGGUGCACUCGCUCUGCGAUCAGGCCAGCAUCGGUUCGGGCGGUCGGAUAAAGGCCUUGGGAAUGUAGCUUCCUUCGGGGAGUCUUAUAGCCCUCGGUGCAAUGCGGCCAGCCGGGACCGAGGACCGCGCUUCGGCUAGGAUGCUGGCGUAAUGGUUGUAAGCGACCCGUCUUGAAACACGGACCAAGGAGUCUAACAUCUAUGCGAGUGUUUGGGUGUCAAACCCAUGCGCGGAAUGAAAGUGAACGGAGGUGAGAACCCUUAAGGGCGCAUCAUCGACCGAUCCAGAUGUCUUCGGAUGGAUUUGAGUAUGAGCAUAGCUGUUGGGACCCGAAAGAUGGUGAACUAUGCCUGAAUAGGGUGAAGCCAGAGGAAACUCUGGUGGAGGCUCGCAGCGGUUCUGACGUGCAAAUCGAUCGUCAAAUUUGGGUAUAGGGGCGAAAGACUAAUCGAACCAUCUAGU